rnacentral:rRNA from 1 species
UACAGAGGGGGCAAGCGUUAUUCGGAAUUAUUGGGCGUAAAGGGCGCGUAGGCGGCUUUGCAAGUGGCGGGUGAAAUCCCUCGGCUUAACCGAGGAACUGCCUGUCAAACUGCAUGGCUUGAGACCGGGAGAGGUGAGUGGAAUUCCCAGUGUAGCGGUGAAAUGCGUAGAUAUUGGGAGGAACACCAGUGGCGAAGGCGGCUCACUGGACCGGUACUGACGCUGAGGCGCGAAAGCGUGGGGAGCAAACAGG